AGGCUGAACGCCUCCAGCCAGCCCCACCAUUCACCAAAUAACGCACUCAGAGAGAGGGAGAGUGAUGGAGUGACAACAACAGGAUGAACACAGACAUCACAGCCUCUGAGAAGCCACAGUACCCAGUCAUAGAUUGAAAUCCGCCAUUCACCAAAGUUGUCGCCAACUUCAACACCCUCGAUUACUUCUGUUUCUCCACCAUUACCGGAGUCUCUGUUGUCGUGGGCAACCUCUCCGGCCUUCCUGGGCUGUCGAUGGUGACCGGUGGCUUGAUCGGGCCGAUGGGUGGGUUCAUGUACGCGUACCAGAACUUGGCGGGUCGACUCGUGGGUUUUUUCCCUGAUGAGUGUGAGGUGGCUAGUUCCCAAAAGCGUGGAUUCAACAAUUAGUAGUGAUUUAGUUUAUGAUUUUGAUUUUGUUGUUAAUAAAAUUGUUUUACUGGAUUAUGAUUUACGCUGAUGGCAGCAAUGUGGUUUUGUUUGAUGGGUUGGAUCCAAGUUUAGACCUUUUUGCUUGAGUUGAUGCAUCGUUGCUAUAAGGAGAGAUCAUUUCAAUUGAAGAACUUAUGAAAGCAGUUUCUUUAUUUGUCUU